rnacentral:rRNA from 1 species
UAGGGAAUCUUCGGCAAUGGACGGAAGUCUGACCGAGCAACGCCGCGUGAGUGAAGAAGGUUUUCGGAUCGUAAGGCUCUGUUGUAAGAGAAGAACGAGUGUGAGAGUGGAAAGUUCACACUGUGACGGUAUCUUACCAGAAAGGGACGGCUAACUACGUGCCAGCAGCCGCGGUAAUACGUAGGUCCCGAGCGUUAUCCGGAUUUAUUGGGCGUAAAGCGAGCGCAGGCGGUUAGAUAAGUCUGAAGUUAAAGGCUGUGGCUUAACCAUAGUACGCUUUGGAAACUGUUUAACUUGAGUGCAAGAGGGGAGAGUGGAAUUCCAUGUGUAGCGGUGAAAUGCGUAGAUAUAUGGAGGAACACCGGUGGCGAAAGCGGCUCUCUGGCUUGUAGCUGACGCUGAGGCUCGAAAGCGUGGGGAGCAAACAGGAUUAGAUACCCUGGUAGUCCACGCCGUAAACGAUGAGUGCUAGGUGUUAGACCCUUUCCGGGGUUUAGUGCCGUAGCUAACGCAUUAAGCACUCCGCCUGGGGAGUACGACCGCAAGGUUG